AGAAGGAAGUAGAGAGGGGACUUGCUUGGAGGUGGCAGCUGAGGAGAUAAACCUAUAAAGAUCACAUCAAUGAGGAUGGAGGAGGAUCGGAGUCACAUGACUGAGAGGAUACUAAACCUCACCCUGGAGAUCAUCUACCUGCUGACCGGAGAGAGUUUUCCUCUUAUGAAGUCUGGAGAUCAUAUGACCAUCACAGUGCUUCCACCUCCCUCCCUGACACCUGAGAGACACAACAUGGAG